AAAUGUCCCUCUAAAAACUCACAAAAAAACACAACCCUGUUCCCUACAUCUUCGUCUCUCAAAAUCUGAACAGUCAAGUUCAUUCCCCCUUUUCUUAUUUCUCCCUCUUGCCCAAAACCCCUCCACUUCAGUUGAAUAUCAAGCAGCUUCAGGAAUAACUAUAUAAAAUGUAUUCUCUUCUUGCUUAACUCUCUCUUAUUCCUUUGUUUCAUUUACUAUCCAUUGAAAUAAUACCUGAGGAAAAAGGUGACCCUCGUUGGUGAGAUUUUAUACAAUCUUGUAUGCAACAAUGCAAGUUGAUUAAGUUGAAACUCCAUCUACUUCGGUCAAGCUCAAAAUAUGAGAAACAAAUAUGGAAUAACAACCACCUGAUGAAGCUUCAAAUGGAAAGUAUCUGAUUGGCAGAUAUAGGUUUAAGGUGACUUUCAUUUUCUUGUAAUAGUUUAAGAGAAGGUUGUGAAGAAAAAGAACAGAAGAAGAACUGCAGACACAUUGAAUAUAACAUCUUAUAUGUCUCAUCAUUCCUUAUUUUCGUUCUUUGAAAAAAAUCAAAUAUUGAUGGCUCUAUUCUGGACAUUGAUUUCGACAAAAUAGGAUAUACACUAUACAAAUAGCUCAACUUAAAUGUAUGUUGAUUUUGAGACUUUAUAUUUUCAGCUUGUGGAGGAGUGAUGAAAUCAAAAUCGAUGGAGAUAUAAUUUUUUUUUUCUCUUGUAAAAGUACAUUGAUAUAUUUGACUGUUUCACUAUUUAGAUGAUAUUGUUGAAUUUUUAUUAACUUUUUCUCUAAUAUAUUGAAUUUAUUGCACAAUUUUAAAUAUUUUGCUACAAUUGACUUA